CAUUGCCAGGACCCUAGAUUUUUUUGUGACAGCGCCACCUACCGAAUCAGAUCACCGAGAACAGAUGGGCGACAUGGACAGCAAUCAAAGCGGUGUUCUCAACGGGGAGUGGUUACAUACAGUAAGCUAUCCUCUUCCCGGGUGCCUGUCUACCUCGACAGUGAGGAACAACAGGACAUCCUGUUUGCCUGUCUGAGAGGAGUACUACACGGGACACCAACACAACUGAGCUUCACAGAUGAAGUGCAGUUCAUCUGUGGUGGUCUUUUUCCAGAGGCCAUCAUAUAUGCCCUGGCUGUCCUACGGAAUUCGUCUGCCUUUCUGUUCCGGAUUAUCAUUACAGAGUUGAACCCUACAGUCAUCGUGUCCAUGCAGCAACAGAUGGAAAAGGGGGUCUUUUUUUGUGCUGUUGCAUUGUAUAAUUCCAUAAAUGACUAUAUAUAUAUAUGUAUAUAUGUAUGUAUGUAU